UUCACUUCAUAUAGUCAUCACAUUAUACAAUAUAUAUACAAGUAAUAUAUGGUCAAUAUUAUUCUCCUACGUACUGAAUUGUUGUGAUAUGGAAUGGAAUUUUAAUAACGGUCUUCUCAAGUAAAGUUAACAAAGUUAAAAACAUAUAUAUGAAAAAGAUAAAGAUAUCUGAAUACAUACACCACAGUUUAUUUUAUUUUUCUUCUGAAGAAUAAAACAAAAUAAGAGGAGAGUACUCUUACUUUUACCAAACUUAUAGAUUACAUUAGCACUGCACAGUUACAAUCAAGCUUUUCAGAUAAUAUAUGUGCCAAUGGCGAUUCAAAGAAAAUCUCUAGAGGAAAUCCAAAGUUAACUGUAAUAAAUGUGUAAAUUAACUAAUAAAGUGAAAACAAUAUCUUUAUUUUUAGGGUGAGAGAGGGAAGAAGCUGCUAUCAUGACAGAAAAUAUGUUUGGUGGAAAACAAUGACUGAUUAACCAUUGUAAUUAUAUAACACAUAUACAUAAAAUAUUUUGGACAUUUUCACUAAUACCAACAAAUAUAUAUUUAAUCAUCAUAUAUAAUGAAAUUCUGAUUGAGUUUUUUUUAGGUAUUAAAGACACUUGUUUUUACCAAAAAUGGUAAGUUUCUUUUUGAUCAAAUUAUCCUGUCAAUAUAUUUUUUUUGGUGGAUUUUUUUUUUCUUUCAAUUCAUAAUGCAUGCCUUUUACGUGAGUUUUUGCUUUUUAACAUUGUACGUCCUCUUCAUGCAUAGUUGUGCUAUUAUUCUUUCAAUGCUUGUAUUAACACACAUUCUUGCUAUUCUUUAAAUGCCUGUGGCUGACACGUAUUCUUAUGAAUUGUCUAAAUUCUCUUAAGAUUAGUUUUUUUCCUCUAAAGUUAUGAUUAUCUUUCUUUAAACUCUACUUUAUCUUAUCUUUCUUUGUUUUUUUAUUUAUGGGAUUGAGGUAUGAUUUGUUCUGCCUUAAUAUUUUUCCUAAUUUAUCUUGGCACGUUUCGAUCUUAGUGAAUUCUUGACUUAUUUCAGCACAGUGUCGUCCUUGGUCUAUCUCGACUUGGUUUCUAGUGCUAUCAAUUUCUUGUAUCUCGACUAAAGCUUUUGUAUUAACUUUGGGUGUGUGCGCUUUCUCUACAAUUUUGUCUUUAAUUAUUGAACUUCUUAUGGAUUUUUCAGGCUGUGUUUUCUCUUUUGUUUGGGCUUAAGUCUUGUUUAAUCUAUUGGGCCUUAGGUUUUAAUCCUUAUUUAUUUAUUUUUUUUUAUUUAAGCGUUAUAUAUUACAACUAUGUUUUAGCUGAGACUCGAACCCAAGACUUCUAAGACACACACCUACCUAUGGCCACUUGAGGUAGCCUCAAGUACUUAAAUUUCUUAUAAAAUGAUGCUUUUAAUUUUUACCCCAUCUUUACAUUAUUUUUGUUUGUCUCUCUCUAAAUUACUGGGUUCUUUCAUUUUACUAGUUCACUACUUUGGAUCAUGGUACUUCCUCUGUUAUUAGGAAAUAGAAUCAAAUCUUUGUGUAACUGUCUGUGCUCUCAACCUACAAUUUUAAUCCUUAGUACUUAAAGUUGAAAGAAUUAUUUCUUCUCUCCCUUUUCUUAGUAUAUAAUAGAAAACGUGGACAAUCGAAGCAUUUCUUCACAAAUCUUUGACUCUCUCUUUUCGAGCACUGCUCCUAUUUUUGUUGAAUUCAUAUUAGUCUCAAGUUCUCCUUCCAAGGAAGGUGUUGAGCACACUGAGCCCAUUGACCCAGAAGUCGAGUGUUUGGGUAGUAUUUCAUCAAUCCCUUGCUCUCGUUUUGGGGAGGGGGUAGGUGUCAGCGGUGAAACUGCCUCUUUCGAAAGUGUUACCCUUGCGAUUCCUCCUCAAAGGAAAUCGAAACAUAAACAACCUACUACAGGGCUAAUGAGAAAGCUGAUACUCCCCAAAUGGAGUGAAACUUAGGGAGAAGACUAGUUGGAAAGCUGACCAAAACAGAGUGAAGGAUAGGGAGAAGACUGGUUGGAAAGCUCCCCCUGAGGGGCAUUGCACGAUCAAUUGUGAUGAUGCUUUGAAUAAGGGUCGACCAGGAGGCAGUUUGGGUGUAAUUAUUCAGGAAUCAGUGGGGCUUUUGGUUGCGGUUGGGGCAAGGUACUUUUGUGGUUGUUUCACAGUGCUGCUUGCUGAAGGUCUGGCCAUCCAGACGGGCUUGGAGCUGGCUCAGACACUCAACAUCAGAAAUUUUGCAGUGGCUUCAAAUAGCCAAACAUUCAUUAAUCAUCUUAAAGCGAUUGUGGUCCCUUGUGCAAACUGGGGGGUCCGAUAGCGCAGAUUAAAGCAAGCAAGCUCCUAGACGAUUGUACAAAUAUAAGUUUUACCACUAGGAAUUGUAAUCAAGUGGCUCAUUCUUUAGCUAAUUGGGCUCUUAGUCAUAAUUGUAAUUUGUUUUGGCCAGAGGAUUUAUUAUCUUGUGCUGUUGCGCUUUUAAGAGCAGAUAAGUGUAAUGUUGUGUAGUUUUUCUUGUUUAAUAUAGUUAUUUUUUUGAAAAAAUAAAAAUCAAAAAGUGGUUAAAAUUUG